rnacentral:lncRNA from 1 species
GACUAAAAUCUGCUUCUGGUCCUAUUCCAGGCAUGCCCAACCAGGGUUACAUGCCUUUUGCCCAGCUUCAACCUGACCUGUAUCAAUUUUUGGUCAUGCACAUUAUUGUAACCCCCUAGAUACCAUAUUCUGUCAAACAUUUCUAGCUGUAAUAUCCAUGACGCAAUCUACCAGAGUUUUGCAAUAAAGCGAAACAUAUCGUCUCAAAGUCUUGUUAAGGUUUCUACUUUCUAGCGUAAUGUUUUUAGUUAUGACAACAGUAGUAACAGAAUAUUACGCCACACUAAAGUCACAGAUUGUCACUUUUGAUAUUACCGUAUUCAUAUCUGUUAAACCCCAGGUUUCAAAAUGUAUACUUAAUUAAUUUUGAUGACAACAAAACAUUAAUGAUGAUUGUUUUUUUAUUAUAUCUAAAACUCAUUGAUUUUUUGUGUUUUAUCUGGAUUACAAUGGAUAUAACUCCUCAAGUCUAAACUGUUUCUGAAGAAACAUGAAAAAGACAGAAGAAGAAGACUAGGAAGUUAGGACUAUUUAUUAAAAGAGUAAAUUUCACUGACCUCCCAUGAAGUUUUUGACAAAUGCAGUCCUCUCUCCUAUAAUUUUUAAAAUAGCACUAACCUUCCUUACUUUUGAAACUAAAAUAUCAAGAUUCUAUCUGGAGCUAAUUUUUAUGCAAAAAUAACAAACUUAUCAUUUAAUUUAUAGCUUCCAAACUUUUUUUCUCAAUACACCCAUUAAAAUAAAUAAAUAUUAUUUUUUUAAAGUAUCAUUUAUUUGUAAAUUACUCCAUUUUUAUUUUUAUCAAUUAGUAAUUUUUUGAAAAAGAAUUGUUCUAAAUAAAGUACUCCUAAUGAAAAUGUAUAUAAAAAAUUAAACUUUCUUAUCAAUAAUUUUUUUAAAAAAAUAAUUGAUCUAAAUAUUUUACCUUUUAAAUACUUCUAAUUUAAACAAACUUUUUAAAAAAGAGAUUGUUUAUUUAUUUUAAUUGGUGUAUUAAGAAAAAAAUUAAAAGCCCUAAUUUAAAGGGUAAUCUUGUCAUUUUUACACAAAAAUAAAUUUUAAAGAAAAAUCUUGACAUUAAUUUCAAAAGUAAAGGAAGCUAAUGUUAUUUUUGAAACUACAAAGGAGGUUAUUGUAUUUAUUAGAAAUUUCAAGGGAGGUCGGUGAAAUUUACCUUUAUUAAAAAGAAUGUUUCCGUAAAGAGAGAAUAUCAUCCAAGAGAAAUAAAGAAAAUAUAGUGGAAUGAUUAGAAAGAUAAAGUACAACAAAAAGGGCGCAUGAAUAUUGAAUGUGGUUAUAAUACGCAAACCCUUACUGGAUGCCCUACACCAGAGAUGUAAGAGAUUUUUUUCUUGAAAUUCUAAGCACACGAUGACAAUUCCCAAAUUUUUCUAAGCCAACAGUGAUUUCUGAGUGAUUUUUCGGAGAUUGAAAUUAAAUCGGACAGAUUAUUGAUUUCGCGUAUGGGUAAAUAUAAAAACUAAUCGUAGAGUUGUCUACUCAAGUAAUACUUCUCAACCACAUUUUUCUAUCACUCCAGCUUUUAUUGACAAAGAGAAAGGACGAGAAUGGGUGUGGAGUGAUCAAAGAAGCUAGAGAGACAAAAUUAAAAGAAGAAAAGAAAGAAACACAUGGAAAUGUGAGAAUUGAACGAGGAUAAUCAAAAGUAAGGAGAAUAUAUACAUACAUACAUAUAUAUAUACAUACAUACAUACAUAUGUAUAUAUAUGUAUAUAUAUAUAACCACAACUUAUGGCCUUGCUAGGGAGGGCAUCGCUACCAAACUAUCGCUAUGAAGCAAGCUUGGUGGAGUUUCUGAGUCGGAGCUCGGUUUAGGAAUCACUAGACAUAGGCACUGUCCGAGCUAAGGUAAGCAUCACUGACGAAUUGUCGCUAUAUAGCAAGCUCGCAAGGUAAUCACGUCGAAGUUCACGUUGUACGAUGGCAAAUCCGACCCGAGGUGCACGUCAAUCACAUCAUACAAAUGAUGGCCCUCUGGAAUCAUUGGACGCGCUUAUGUGCCGGGUGUUCCCAUCGAGUUUGGGAGAUCCCGGGUUGAAGUGGUUUGACAGGCUACCAACGGGAUCAAUUGGAAAUUUUUAUCAACUUAUAGAGUCAUUCGUGGUUCAGUUCUUUAUAAACACUAAAGCACCAAAUGGCAUUGGCUCUCUUCUAACGGGAAAGAACGAAUCGCUUUGCAAUUACAACAAGCGCUACUAGGAGACAUAUAACGAGAUUGAGGAAUGUUCUGAAGAACUAGUAGUGGUCAGUUACAACCUCGGACUAACUCGGAGAGAAAGACUUUGGGAAGAGCUGACGCUCAACCCUCCAGCCAAUCUCCGAUACCUCAUGUCUCCGGGUUGAAAUGUAUGCUCGAUUAAAGGAUGAUGUCCAGCAGGCAAAGUGAGCUAUAGGGACAACUUCUCUUGGCGAGGAAAAGCGAAAGGAAAGCUCGGUUGAUUACGAAAGUCGGGUGAGGCAGGGGAUUAAUGUAAUUUUC